CGGGGGAGGCGGGAUCCUGGGCUGUGUCCCGGCGCCCUGUGCUCCGGAGCCUGCCGCUGGUGGAUUCGCGCUCCCGGGCCGCGCAACCCCCU
rnacentral:pre_miRNA from 1 species